rnacentral:rRNA from 1 species
GUUGCUGGUCUUCAACGGGGACAUGUGCACGCUCUGUUUACACAUCCACUCACACCUGUGCACCCUCCGUAGUUCUAUGGUCUGGGGGACCCUGUCUUCCUGCCGUGGUUCUACGUCUUUACACACACUCUGUAAUAAAGUCUUAUGGAAUGUAUGCCGCGUCUAACGCAAUACAAUACAACUUUCAGCAACGGAUCUCUUGGCUCUCGCAUCGAUGAAGAACGCAGCGAAAUGCGAUAAGUAAUGUGAAUUGCAGAAUUCAGUGAAUCAUCGAAUCUUUGAACGCACCUUGCGCCCCUUGGCUAUUCCGAGGGGCAUGCCUGUUUGAGUAUCAUGAACACCUCAACUCUCAUGGUUCGCCAUGAUGAGCUUGGACUCUGGGGGUUUUGCUGGCCUGCGGUCGGCUCCCCUCAAAUGAAUCAGCCUCCCAGUGUUUGGUGGCAUCACGGGUGUGAUAAAUAUCUACGCUCGCGGUUGUCUGCCAGGUAACCUUUGGUGACAAAGGUUUGCUGGAGCUCACAGAUGUCUCUCCUCGGCGAGGACAGCUUUUUUGAACGUUCGAUCUCAA